AAAACUAGGGUUUAUUUUGAGAUAUAUUCAUCUCCAAAUAAAUACUUUUAACAACAAAGCAAACUAGCAAAGCACAGCACAGGACAGACGUUACAUUUGAAAAUGCAAAUAACGUAUUGAUAAUUUAAAUAAGCCAGCCAUGCCCAGAUAGAUCACUUGUACUCCAAGAUCAUGUUGUUUUCUGGUGCCAAUCCAACACAUGCCCUCAUUAUGUUCUCGAGCAUCGCCCUCUGCUUCGCUAGCGCAUUCACCACUGGUGUACCCGGCGGCACCUGGGCCUUUGUAAGGUAGCUCAGAAUCGUAGCCACCGGAUGGAACGAAUGGAACUUAC
rnacentral:lncRNA from 1 species